AGCGAACGCUGGCGGCAGGCUUAACACAUGCAAGUCGAGCGGGCAUCCUUGUGGUGUCAGCGGCAGACGGGUGAGUAACGCGUGGGAACGUGCCCUUCGGUUCGGAAUAACUCAGGGAAACUUGAGCUAAUACCGGAUACGUGCGAGAGCAGAAAGGUUUAUCUGCCGAAGGAUCGGCCCGCGUCUGAUUAGCUCGUUGGUGAGGUUAUGGCUCACCACGGCGACGAUCAGUAGCUGGUCUGAGAGGAUGAUCAGCCACACUGGGACUGAGACACGGCCCAGACUCCUACGGGAGGCAGCAGUGGGGAAUAUUGGACAAUGGGGGCAACCCUGAUCCAGCCAUGCCGCGUGAGUGAUGACGGCCUUAGGGUUGUAAAGCUCUUUUCUUCGGGACGAUAAUGACGGUACCGGAGGAAUAAGCCCCGGCUAACUUCGUG
rnacentral:rRNA from 1 species